GAAAGUGCCCAUCCCGGCUCAGAGACGGGACACACCGCACGUCGCGGCCGUUCCCGCGGGCCCCUGCCCUGCUUCGGGCCUCACCCACGGCCGAGGCCCCCGCCCGCCGCGCGGGAGCCGCGGCGCCAUUAUGCGAGGCGGGCACAGCACGUCCGCCACGUACUCACGGACCGGCGCGGCGCUGCCUCGUGUCCUCGCGCCUGUAGAAGCAGCUGCCCGAUAAGGCCCGACACUCUUUGGAAUUCGGUACAUCCUUUCUUGGUGACCGAAGCGAUCAAUAGGGACGGUGCAGCCCAAACGCCCGAGCUGGGCGGGACGGGGCAAGGAUGUCGGCUCCCCCGGCAGCCUCCGGAGCGACUCGCCGGCGCCAGCCGGCCGGACUCUCCUGCGCCCAGCGCGACGCAGCGCAGGGGAAGGGCGCACCCUCGCCGCCGCUCAGGAAGAUGGAGCUUUGCAGGAUGCUGACAUGAUGUCACUGGAAUUCCUAUAUGGGACUACAGCAAAACAGCCUGUUGCAAGUCUUUCAAUCCAUAGAUACAGGGACGUUGCCAGCCCACAAGUUAACAUAUCUGAGGCACUGAUUCUGCCACUGUGUGUGUGAAAAUGUCUACCAGAGUGAGUACUUCAGGAAAGGGGGAAUUGUCUGUGAACCAGAGCUUUUUUGCAUUCUCUGAAGUAGUGCUCUGCUGAAGAGUUACCACUCGCCAAACAGAUGAAGGAAAUGAAAAUUUCUAUCACUCACUGAAUGCACGCCUUACAAAACAAGAAAUUCCAAGGGUGUUUUAUUGGUUAUUGUACAAGACCUCCAGCAUAAAGUCACCUAGACAGAGAUUUUCCAUUGACUGCCUUUUCAUAUAUGUACAUGGGUAAGUGUUUAAGGAAUGGAACAUUUUUUUUCAUAUAUGAUUUGUCAGUUUGUCACAAGUUCUAAGCAGUGUAUCUUAUACCACAUUAUUAGUUGGAACAUUGAUUGACAGAUGCUCCACAGAACAUAUUUCUGAGUUGUCAUUCUACAGCAAGUAACACCUACCAUCCCUUUCAGCCUCCUAUCUAGGAUAUAUAAAUUGUACAUAUAGAACAGUGCUGUAAAAGUACUUAAAUUUUCAAUAAAGUGCUGUCUGCAUCAUCUACUUUCCACCAACCUUUGCUGUCUCUCAGUCUUUAGAGAUGAUAGAGCAUUUGUUUACAGGGAACAUUGCAGAAGGAAAGUGUGUGGAAAGCGUGAGGAAUACAGCUUUUGCAAGAUAAUUUAUUUUGCAGACAUCUUGAAGGGCUUUAGUGUCAUCCAUAGGGAGCAGAAGAGUUCCUGAAAUGGAAGUGACACGAAAAAUAAAGCAUUAUGAGCAACAAAUAUGGUAAGUGCUAGAUAGUUCUUGACCUAUUUACAAGUGAAGUGUAGAUCUGUGUGUAUAGUUUUGAAAAAUUUUGAGGAAUUCAGAAUCUGUUCACAAUGACAAAAACACAGGGCUAAAUUCAUUAAAUGAAAUGUUAUUGAAAAUAGCUCUCCUACUGUAAUGGCAAGUGGCUUGUUUAUUUUGCUGAGUAUCAUUGGAAAAUACUACAGAAAAGAGGAAGGAACACUAGAGACAAGCAAGAUCAUCUGCUUAGUAGUAUGAGAUAGAAGUUAAGCUGAAAGGCUUGUCAUUCAGGGGAAGAAAUAGAGUGGUUGUAAUGACAAGAUUUAUAUCUGCAGUUUGCUGUCAAAAAGUAAUUCUUGAUAGCAGGCUUUUCUAUUACUAACAGUUGAAUUGAUGUUUUUGUUUUAUGGGCGAUCAGUAUGAAAAAUCCUUCUUAAAAUGAUCUUUCAACUAUAAUUCUUUUUGUUCCGUACAAGCAGGAUUUCAGCCAAAAUUUUUUCACAAAAAUAUUUCUCUAUUUCUCUUUUUAGAGGAGUACAUCAUCUAACCCCCCCCCCCCACCAAAUGUUAUAUGAAGCAUUUAAGAAUGUUCCUGAAAUAUGUUGCUUGUUAGUUCGAUUUUUGCUUUGUUCAUUGUUGGCUUUCUGGGCUUGUUAAAGGAAGUGAUCUUGCAAGAGAAUUAUUGUUAAUGAACUCAUAACUACUACAUUUUUUUUUCAGCUUUACCCUUUCCCAACAUCAAGGUAUUUUUAUUUGAAAGAUUUGUGCUGUUGCCAGUAUUGUUUUGUACCUUGCAUACCAUAAAGAGUAACUCAAUAUUUAGCUACAAUUUUUUUCUUUAUGUUAAUUUCCCUCUGGUGCUCGGGCAAUUUGCAGACUGUCUGAAUUUAAAAUGGCCAAUGAAUCUUAGAAAGUUAUUGUAUACAAUACCCUCACAAAAAGUAAAUUAAAUCAAUGAAGUACGUUGUAUCUUGGGUUUAUAACUGAAUCAUUUAGAACACAGGUUAUGAUUGAAGGCAGAAGAAAAUACAGAUUUCAUCAUCUUUUUUUCUGUUAUACCAGUACUUCAAAUAGCAACUUUUCAGCUGCUAUCACACUGCUAAUAAGAAAAACUAAAUCUUAAAAAAACCUUAGGUAUUUACAUUUUAAAAUGGUUGCACUCUCACCUGUAGGAUGUAGUUGGGUUAUGUUUUGUGGUGUCACACAUUAUCAGACUGACAUUUCGUAUAAUACCUAAUCCUCAUAAGGUUUGUUUGUAGGCAAAUUGCGUAUUUAUGUGUCUAGAUUCUUAAAUGAAUUUUUACUGAUGAAAUUUAAUGUCCCAAUUCAUUGAACAAAUAGUGAGCCAGUUUGUAAAUCUUUAAUUUGAACUACACUAAAAAGUACUAUAUUAUAUGCAGAAAUAGAUUUUGCAUGUUACAACUCCUAGUGCCCUUGGAUGAGCUGAUUUUUCAAGGUGGCAUAUAUCUGGUAUGAGAGACAUACUGGUUUUAGAUGCUGGGAAUAGUCAUACUUCAGUUUAAAAAAAUACUUAAUAAAUAUUUUUAUUUGUGGGUAUAGACUGGAGGUUAGAAUGAAAUAAUAAGUAAAAGCUAAAUAUCACUAUUAUUGCAUUUAUCUAACAGAUACAAUCACCAUCAUUUAGGUCUUCUGACAAAAUGGGGUGGAAUCAUCUAUUUCCAUCUAUUUCCAUACUUAUUCUUGAACAAUAUAUAUAAGGGAACUCCUGAGAAUCCUGAGCUAGGUUGAUAGUCAUAAGACCACCAGUGUUGUUUGUUCUGUUGGUUACCUUUUCCUUCUUAAAGGUUCUGGACAAGAGAGAAAAUGAAAAAGUUACACAAAAGUACGUGUUUUCCAGCAUUUUCAGUAGAUAAAGUAUAGACUAUUGUGCUCACUUCUGCUACACUGUAAUCUGUUCUACGAAAAAACUCAGAGGAAAGCUAAGCAGGUAAUAUUUUCAAAGAGCAUUAUGCAUGUGCUUAAUUAUGCUCUGUCAUUCUUAUUAAGAAAGUACUGAAUGAAGUACAAAGAAGUUUGUCAUUUCAGGUUGUCAAAAUGAAAUCACUUAAAGCAGAGCAGGUAAGCAAGAAGAAAACUAGAUUCAAGAGGAAGAAAACUAGAUUCAACAAGUGAAUCAAUUCAUUUGAUUUUGAUACUCAAACUGACUUUGCUACCAUAUGAAACAGAAAUGCUACAGCUGCUAUGUAAAAUUUUCAGUAUUUCUGAAAUUAUUCAAUAACUGUCAUGUAAGUCUUUUUAUGCUUGGAACACAAAGGCACAGUUUUUCACAUCAUGCCUUGAUUUUCAGUGGCGCUGUUUUGAGAAUAUCGUAUGUUAGUGAUGUAAUAUAUUGUUUCCUCUAUUACAGACAUUGUAUUCACAGCUUAUUUUUGACUAAGGAUGUGAAAUAAAUUCUCUAAAUGGCAAAGAUUUCAGAUAAACUUGGAAGUCACUAGAUUUCUUUUUUCACUAUGGAGAAGCUGAUACUUUUCAAGGACCUACUGAGAUUUUUGUUAACAAGCCAGAUUUUCAGUCCUUCUCAAAGAAAUCAGAAAGCAGGCAAAUUUUACUAAUAGUAAAACCUUUGACCAUGACAGUGGCAAUAUGGAGCAACCCAGACAACAAGAACUCGGGCAUCUUUCCAGAGUUUCUAUAAGAACUCACCAACUCCAGCAACUCCAGCUCAGUUACAGUCCAGUUACAUUUGAACUGAAGAUAAAUUCCAGUGUCUCUACACUAUAUUCACUAACACUUCAAAUUCUGGUCUACAUAAACACAUAGAGCCAGUUUCAUGUCAACUGUACUUGUGUUAAGACUUUCUUCAUCUAGAGUAUUGACGAAAAUGUUGCUGAGACCACCUGAAAAGUCAAGUCCAACAUCUUGAUAAGAAAAUUGUGUGACAAUACACUGUCCAAGGCUUCAGGUUUUCAUGAAUUAAUUGAAAAUAAUAACUCCUCCUAAACACCAGAGAUUCAGUACAUCUUUCAGAAUAUACCCAGCUGGACUGUGUUUCAUACCCCAAGGAUGUCUAUGCACCAAGCUUCUCUGUUCCAGGAAUGUGAUGCUGAGAUAAUUUGGCUUACUAGCUGACACUCCAGAUGUUUUUGAGCUAAUACUGGUAGACAAUGUUUGCAGGCUUUGUAGACUUCUAUCUCUGUCUCUGCAGAGGUUAAUCUCUAAUCUAGAUAAUGUCACAGGUAACUUGGAAUUAAAUGUAUAUAUCAUUAUACCAAAUGAGAAUUUGGGUUAUGAAGUUGUUACAUGCUGUUACAACAACAACAACAACAAUAAUAAAAGGUCCCUAAAUGGAUAGAUUUA